rnacentral:rRNA from 1 species
UACGGGGGGAGCGAACGUUGUUCGGAAUUACUGGGCGUAAAGGGCGCGUAGGCGGCCUGCUAAGUCGAACGUGAAAUCCCUGGGCUCAACCCAGGAACUGCGUCCGAUACUGGUUGGCUUGAAUCCGAGAGGGGGAUGUGGAAUUCCAGGUGUAGCGGUGAAAUGCGUAGAUAUCUGGAGGAAUACCGGUGGCGAAGGCGGCAUCCUGGACCGACAUUGACGCUGAGGAGCGAAAGCCAGGGGAGCAAACGGG